UGGCGGCGAACGGCUCAGUAACACGUAGUCAACCUGCCCUCGAGUCGAGAAUAAACUCGGGAAACUGAGGCUAAUGCUCGAUAGAUCAAGAUUCCUGGAAUGGGUUUUGGUCCAAACGGAAUAGCGGCAUCUCGCUAUUUUCGCCCGAGGAUGGGACUGCGGCCGAUCAGGCUGUUGGUGGGGUAAAGGCCCACCAAACCAGUAACCGGUACGGGCUUUGAGAGAAGGAGCCCGGAGAUGGACACUGAGACAAGGGUCCAGGUCCUACGGGGCGCAGCAGGCGCGAAACCUUCGCAAUGCGCGCAAGCGCGACGAGGUUAUUCUGAGUGAUUCCCGCUGAGGGAAUCUUUUCUUAGAUCUAAAAAGUCUGGGGAAUAAGGGGAGGGCAAGUCUGGUGUCAGCCGCCGCGGUAAUACCAGCUCCUCGAGUGGUCAGGGCGUUUAUUGGGCCUAAAGCAUCCGUAGCCUGCUCAGUAGGUCUCCUGUUAAAUCCAACGGCUCAACCGUUGGUCUGCAGGAGAUACCGCUGGGCUAGGAGGCGGGAGAGGCGGACGGUACUCCGAGGGUAGGGGUAAAAUCCUUUGAUCCCCGGAAGACCACCAG
rnacentral:rRNA from 1 species